rnacentral:lncRNA from 1 species
GUCUGUUAAUGGGUCGGAUGUAUAAAACCCGGUCUGUUAAUUGGUCUGUUAAGAGUUAUGAAUGACAAUAAAAGUAUAAUUUUAUUACACUAUAUAGUGUGUUAAUUUGGUAGGCUCAAGACGAGCGGCUAAAAUAUACAGAAACAACACUUGAGCAAAGGAACAUAAAAUAUAUACGGAAACAAAACAGGAGCAAUGGAAUAUAAAAUAUACCGAAACAAAACACAUGAACAAUUAACAAUUUAGGCAAUGGAUAUUGAAAAUUGAUAAAAGUGGUUUCAAAAAGUGUUAAAUUAAAGUAAAAUUAAUUUUAUCCGAGAAUGGUCGCAUAUAUUCUGUGGAUUCUGUUUUAUUGUCAUGAAUGACACCAAUUUGUCAUCUACAUUGGUAACCAGUAUAUAAAUCAGAGAUUAACGUCGUAAUGUAACUAAACAUCAGUAAGUAAAAUAUAUUGGGAUGCCUAAAUAUAAAGAAUAGAGAAAGAAUAAUGAGUAAGAUAAAUAAAAUGUAUAGAAAAGUAACAUAACAAUUUAAAGAAUACAGAAAUAAUCAACACCCCAAUCCGGACCCUCAUGGUAUACACGAGAAUCUGGAUGGAGAUACAGAAUAUAAAUAAAAGAUAAGGACAGUAGAGGGUGAUGCAUUGCUAAAAAAGAGAGAAAAAAACAAUAAUUGUUUAAGAAUAAAGAAACAGUAACGGAUUGCGAUGUACUCAUAUUGGUAACAAAUGCUUGAAGUUUACAUGUGGACAACUGCAGUUCUCCACUGCACAUAUGUAAAAAGGGAACUAUACGGAAUAACAUGAAUUUAAACUGAAUACAACCAAAUGUAGUUACACUUUGUACCCGAAUUUCCAUAAAACUCGCCCG